CGACAUGUUCUCUGCUAACGUGGACGGUCAAUAUUAGGGGAACCCAACCGACUCUGUCCUCGCCAACUCUACAAUUAAAGUUCGAAACAAUCGCUGCAAAUCAAGGAGCUUCAAAUCCGCUGCAAAGGGGCUUCAUUCUCCGGGAGAUUUGUGGAGUAUCAGUAUCAGUUAAAUACGCAUAAUACGUGAGAAAGCGUCGUGGAAGAAGCUACGUAGCUACAACUGAAACCCAUCCCCUUUUCGAACUCUGAGAUCACAGACCUAGUGAAGGGGUCAUCGUUUCUGGAUCAACAGCGCUGUGGGCUGACUCGUCAAGCAAUGGCAAACCUUCGACCAUUGGCGCGCAAAAUCAAAGGUCUCUCUCUCUCCUUUCUGAAAAAUCGCCCCGGAGGUUUUUUCCCAAUUUCAAUUCAAUUCCAAACUUAGUGUGGUUUUGAUCGUUGUAUUAAUAUAUAUAUAUAUAUAUAUAUAAAAGAUAUAUAUCGGAGGGUAUCGUAUCGUGCUAAGAAAUGCUAAAGACAAAGAUUAAAAUAUCAGUAUGAGUUGACUAAAUUUAAGAUACGUAUCAGAAGGAUAUUGUAUCAUAUCAGAGAUACUUCAAACCAUGGUUGUAUCCUUUAUUGAUCCUUUUACCUACUUAUGUUUGGUGUGUUUUGUAAAGUAAUAUAGUUUCACUGCUAUUUGACGAAGUAUAAUAGAAUGAUCUUUUUGAUUUUAUUCGUCUGUAAGGAUGGAUAUUAUUUAGAUUCUUUAGGUUGAUUGUAUUGGUGUUGGGAAAUUGUAAUCUUGGAUAUAGAUAGAUAAUCACAGUGACUACUUGUGAAAUCAAGCUCUUGGGAAUUCAAUGGUAUGGCAAUAGAUGGUUAUACAUGUAUGCAAACAUUUUGAUUGAAGAUCCUGUUGGAAGAUCUUUGUUUGCUAUUAGAAUACACUGUUGAGUCUAAGGCUGUCUUUUGUAUGAUUUCUUUUUGUAUUUAUUACCUAUUUUUGAGAAAUCAUUUUAUAAUAAUAAAUUAUGGACCACAAAUAAUAUUCGUAUAGUUACUAUUAUAUAAUAGAUUUUAUGAUUAGAAAUAGGUUUGGUAUGCCUAUUUGUAGAAUAUGUUAUGGGAAAAAGAACACUACGUGCCUGGUUGUGUUUCUAUGCCUACACACAGGUUGUUUCUAUGCCUACACACAGGUGGACAUGAAAAGAUAGUGUUGUCCCCCUCCCCAUACGUUGAAUAUAUAUGCUCACGACCUCCCAUUGGACUACACGCUAGCAUAAUGGCCACGCAAGCAGUAGCGUUAAAAUAUGAAAAAAAGACUGUCUACGAGUUGAGAGGGGUUGCGCCUAGAUACAAAGGGGGUGAAAUGACCACUACCCCUAUGAAAGAUGAAAAUUCCCACCCUGUUGAUGCUUCUAGCUUCUCUCCUAUUUGCAAACACACUUUUUCCCCAUCUAUUCUCUCCAUAAAAUUCCAAAAGAACAACAGAAAAGCAAAGAAUAGUAUAUCUAUCACCUAUACUUACCCCCUCUCUCUCUCUCUCUCUCUCUCUCUCUCACACACACACACACACACACACACACACACACACACACAAAAGAACAAUCUAGCGCCCCCUUCCUCUCCCCUUUCUCUUUUCUUGUUAGGUGAGAAUCAUAGCACAAACAACCAUUCAACAGCUGCAGAAGAAGAUCAAAUCAUGGAAGAGUAAGUUUUCAACCCCCUUUUUCUCUCUCUCUCUUGAUUUCUCUCUGGAUCUCGAUCCAUUGAUCAUAAUUUUUUCUUUGAAAAUUUUCAGAGCUGAGACAUUCCCAAAACCAUACAGAACCGCAGCUCAUCAUCAUCCUCAAUAUGCAUCCAUGUCACAGCUCUCAACGGCUUUGUAAACGUGAACUUACUUUUCACCAUAGCAGUUUUCGUGGGUUUAUCUCUAACCACACCAGGCCAACGCAGCCUAUAAAACAAAGGACUGUGUGAUGCAGGCCUUGAUGUUGUGGAAAGACUCACAACCUUUGAAGUUGUCUCCUUCAGUUUCUUUCUCUUCUCAAGCUUGGUGGCUCAGAGAUUGAUGUUAGCCAUUAAUCUGCUUAACAACAAAGAGGUGGAUGACACAUUUAGGGCUCAUAUAAAUUUGACGGUCCUUUCUACCAAAAAAAAAAAAAAAAAAUCUGAAGGUUUUGAGGUUUAAGAUGUUGGAUCUACAUUUGGGUCUGUGAUGUGUUGUGUGUUCUUGAUGUUAUCAAUGGUGAAUGUCAUUAAGAUCAGAUUGGAGAGAGAGAGAGAGAGUUUAUUUGAAAAAUCUAAAAAUGGUUGAAAUUACCUAUUUACCCUCCAUUUUGAAGCAAUUAUAACACGUGCUUUUAAAAAAGUAGUGCACAAAUCAAAAUAAAUGUGCCACAAAUCACAAGUUGCUUUUCAUCAAUUUGUGAUUUAUUCUGAUUUAUAAUAAAUAAAAAUAAGUGCAAUAAAUCAUAACAAACAAUUGUAAAAACAGAAAUAGGUCAGAUAAAUACAAAUAGAAAUCAAUACCGAAGAGAGCCUAAUAAAGUAAGUAUCUAUUUAUUUAGUGGUUGUUUAUUUCAAAGUUGGUUGUUCCUUUGUUAGAAGCAUGCUACUUAGUAGUUAUUUUGUGACUUUCAUUUUGUGGAGUACUGAAACUUUGUUUCUUAGUUGCUUAGGAAUCUAUUUUAAGGGGUUACAAAAUAUUCAUUGUUGCUUAGUAGUAAAGGACCUCUCACCAUAUUAGAGAGGUUCCUAUUUGGUUGUAACGAUCACAGAUAAUAAAUGAAGAGGGGAUGACAGCCUGCCACGAUUUGGAUGCUUUAGACAAUUAUGCUCUUGUAGUGUGUGUACUGUGGUGAAUCAGUGGCCAAGCCAUAUCUUCUUCUUUUCCCUUUUUUUCUCCUUUCUUUCUUUCCUUACUGUUCUGCAGGUUUCUGGCAACUAUCUGCCUCUAUUGUGGACUGUUAUUGGGUGAACUCUUAACUAAUUUUGUGUCUUAAUAAUCCUUUGGUUUGCCCUCA